GACGAACGCUGGCGGCGUGCCUAAUACAUGCAAGUAGAACGCUGGAGGAGGAGCUUGCUUCUCUGGAUGAGUUGCGAACGGGUGAGUAACGCGUAGGUAACCUGCCUGGUAGCGGGGGAUAACUAUUGGAAACGAUAGCUAAUACCGCAUAAGAGUAGAUGUUGCAUGACAUUUGCUUAAAAGGUGCAAUUGCAUCACUACCAGAUGGACCUGCGUUGUAUUGCUAGUUGGUGGGGUAACGGCUCACCAAGGCGACGAUACAUAGCCGACCUGAGAGGGUGAUCGGCCACACUGGGACUGAGACACGGCCCAGACUCCUACGGGAGGCAGCAGUAGGGAAUCUUCGGCAAUGGACGGAAGUCUGACCGAGCAACGCCGCGUGAGUGAAGAAGGUUUUCGGAUCGUAAAGCUCUGUUGUAAGAGAAGAACGAGUGUGAGAGUGGAAAGUUCACACUGUGACGGUAUCUUACCAGAAAGGGACGGCUAACUACGUG
rnacentral:rRNA from 1 species